UAUUUUGACGUGUUCAUUUUAUUUUUUCGAGCAUUUUGGUGCCCGACUUUUAUUUUUUUGAGUCUAUUUAUUUUUAUAUUGGGUCUAGAAUAAAUAAAUAGGUUAAUUAGUUUUUAUUUUAAUUUUAACCAUUUUAACUUUAUUCAAAUUUUAAUUUUAUAUUGGGUCUAGAAUAAAUAAAUAGGUUAAUUAGUUUUUAUUUUAAUUUUAACUAUUUUAAUUAUUUAACUUUAUUCAGUUUUUAAUUUUAUAUUGGGUCUAGAAUAAAUAUAUAGGUUAAUUAGUUUUUAUUUUAAUUUUAACUAUUUUAAUUAUUUAACUUUAUUCAGUUUUUAAUUUAAUAUUGGGUUUCAAAAUAAACUUAGGCCCAUUAUCAUUAACCUAAUUUUUUCCUAUAUAUAUUUACUAGCAUGACUGAU
rnacentral:lncRNA from 1 species